GAUUUGCUUCAUGACACGAGUUACGAAUAGAUGAUGCAGCUCCCAUCGAAGACGCUUCACUUCUUCCCCACCGCACCAUCGUCGGCGCCACGUCCGUAUUCGGUCGGUAAGUCGUGACACAAGUCAGUUACAACCCUGGGAAGAGAGGAGAGAAAGCAGCAAUCGGAAGAUCCUCGGAGGAGAGACAGUAGCGAAGAAUCAUCAUCAAUCGCGUAAUCCGAUCCCGGAAUAGGGUCAUCCUUGAAGGGAAGAAUCGUCAUCAAGCGCGCAAUCCGAUCCCGGAAUAGGGUCAUCCUCGAAGGGAAGAAUCCGGUGAAAAAGCACAUUAAUUGAAGCUCCUCCUCAUGUUUCGAAUGUCCAAGUGGCCCAGUCACUGGAUACGAUAAGGAGACUAUGUAGGAUUAUCUAUAAUUAUCUGGAAGAUGGAACUAAGGUCACAGUGUCUACAGGACUAGCAGCGUCUGGAGCCAGAAUUCCUCACCUGAGAUAUUAAAACACAAGAGAAAACUUAGACCCAACAAUGGUUUUCUGCUGCUGCUCUGAACACUGUUGUGUUCUUCAAUUUCUACAGAGUGCCGAACUAUUUGGCUUCUUUUUCUUGCAGUUGGCUCCAAGGAUACACUGUUUGAUCAUGUACUGGAAACAAACAUACGAUGUUAAAGGGGAAUAGACAUGUCUGAUCUGUAGAAGUCCUGACUAGCCCUGGAGAUUCUGCUUGAUUGGCUGACAUUGAGGUUCAUAUUUGGGAAUUGGGACAGUACUCCGUAUAAUAGAUGUUCCAUUAGAGAUGAAUCGGCUCAAUUUGUGUCGGUGCUUGUCCCCAUUACACUGAAUUGUUCCUAUCCAUGGGAUGUGACUGGGGAUUAUGGAGAUCAAGACAACUGCAUCUACUUCCCAAACUGGGUCUUCAAAUGCUAUUAUAUUUCCCUUUGGCUUGUGGUAAAGAAGUGGAGAACUUUCCUGCCCCUGAUAUAGGACAUUACGAUAGGGACGGACUGUUUCAUGCCAGCAUUUGCAACUAUUCUCACUGUAGAACACAGGUGGGAUGCCUUCAUCACCAGUUUGAAGAGCUCCAUGGGAGCCGAGAAGAAGGGGCUGUGAUCGGUCUCCAUGACCAACACCUCAUCCGGUGGCCACCUCCGGAUCAUGGCGUCUUGCUGCUGUGGGUUCACCAUGUUGUCAUGUGUGGUCUUUAUGUACACUCGUCUUGCUUUCUCCAACCCCUCCACUUUGUGGAACCUUGUGCUGGGUAGAGUGGCCGGCCAUGGUCGUAGUAGCAUGGAAGCCAACGUGGAGUCCUGAGCCAUGCAACGUAACACAUGUUGAGACUACAAAUCUAUAUCUUGUCGUACUUAUCACUCGAUGACUCGACACAAAGAAGGAAAAUACAUCUUUGGUUAGACCGGUAAACAUCGAUCGAUGCUUGUCGAUCAGACUAUUUUAUAUUACAUCAGAUCUAAUCUAAUGAGCAUUGUCAGGAUUUGUUACCUCAA